rnacentral:rRNA from 1 species
GACGAACGCUGGCGGCGUGCCUAAUACAUGCAAGUAGAACGCUGAAGAGAGGAGCUUGCUCUUCUUGGAUGAGUUGCGAACGGGUGAGUAACGCGUAGGUAACCUGCCUUGUAGCGGGGGAUAACUAUUGGAAACGAUAGCUAAUACCGCAUAACAAUGGAUGACACAUGUCAUUUAUUUGAAAGGGGCAAUUGCUCCACUACAAGAUGGACCUGCGUUGUAUUAGCUAGUAGGUGAGGUAACGGCUCACCUAGGCGACGAUACAUAGCUGACCUGAGAGGGUGAUCGGCCACACUGGGACUGAGACACGGCCCAGACUCCUACGGGAGGCAGCAGUAGGGAAUCUUCGGCAAUGGGGGCAAACCCCUGACCGAGCAAACGCCCGCGUGAGUGAAAGAAAGGGUUUUCCGGAUUCGUAAAAGCUUCUGUUGUAAAGUUCAAAGAAACCGAAGUU